rnacentral:rRNA from 2 species
GAAGCGGCAAUAGCUCAAAUUUGAAAGCUGGCCCCUUUGGGGUCCGCGUUGUAAUUUGUAGAGGAUGAUUCGGCGAGGGCUCCCGUCUAAGUCCCCUGGAACGGGGCGUCAUAGAGGGUGAGAAUCCCGUAUGUGAUGGGUUGCCUUAGCCAUGUGAAUCUCCUUCGACGAGUCGAGUUGUUUGGGAAUGCAGCUCUAAAUGGGAGGUAAAUUUCUUCUAAAGCUAAAUACCGGCCAGAGACCGAUAGCGCACAAGUAGAGUGAUCGAAAGAUGAAAAGCACUUUGGAAAGAGAGUUAAAAAGUACGUGAAAUUGUUGAAAGGGAAGCGCUUGCAGCCAGACUUGUCCGCAGUUGCUCAGCCGGUCUCCUGACCGGCGUACUCUUCUGCGGCCAGGCCAGCAUCAGUUCGGGCGGUCGGAUAAAGACCUCGGGAAUGUAGCUCCUCUCGGGGAGUGUUAUAGCCCGGGGUGGAAUGCGGCCAGCCUGGACUGAGGAUCUCGCUUCGGCUAGGAUGCUGGCGUAAUGGCUGUAAGCGGCCCG